ACACUUACCUGGCAGGGAGACACCACAAUCAGGGGAAUGCUUUCCUAGAGUGAGACUCAUCCACUGUUCGGGGUAUGUGCUGACCCCUGAGAUUUCCCCAGAUGCAGAAAACCUGAGUGCAUGAUUGGAGGAAGUGGGGGACUGUGUUCUCACUGUGACCUGAA
ensembl:snRNA Gm23294 U1 spliceosomal RNA